rnacentral:lncRNA from 1 species
UUAUUUCAAAAUUUUGAUGUAAAUUUUUAAUAUUUAAUUUUUAAUUUGAAUUUAAAUUAAUAUAUUAUAAAGAUAAUGUUAGUAUAUUAAUUUGAUUAUAUUUUUUAUAUUCACCUAAACCGAACACUGACAAUGGAAAUGAUUUAUUCCGAUUCCGAUUCUGGUGAUGAACCAAACAGAAUUAGAUAAUGAGUCAUUCCGAUUCCGAUUCCAGCUUACUUUGAUUCCGAUUUCGAUUCCGACUCCGACUUCGAACCAAACACACCCUUAGAGUUUAGAGUUUAGGAUUGUAGGGUUUUACAGUUUUAGGAGUUUUAAGGUUUAGAGAUUUUAGAGUUUUAGGAUUUUAGAGUUUUUCUGAUUUUUUUUUUGAGAGUUUUAGUGUUUAGGACUGUAGGCAUGGGAAUCUU